rnacentral:tRNA from 1 species
GGGCAAGUGGUGGAAUGGUAGACACGCAGGUCUCAAAAACCUGUGAGCUCAAACUCAUGAGGGUUCGACUCCCUCCUUGCCCACCA